rnacentral:lncRNA from 1 species
GUGAGCAGUUCAGAGGUUUUGCUAGGAUGUAUUUAAACUAGGAGGGGGGGCAAAAGGGUGAUAAAACAUCAAUCCAAUUGUCCCCCAAAACAAGGACAGAAGGUGCCUGUAGCAAGUAUGUUAAAAAAUGAUAAGCUUAGAGUCAUGUCUACAAAUGCUCGCAGUUUAGGGAAUUAGAUCCAUGAACUUGUGGCAAUAAUGGCAAC